CCCAGCUGGAGUGCAGUGGCGUGAUCUUGGCUCACUGCAGCCUCCGACUCCCUGGUUCAAGUGAUUCUCCUGCCUCAACCUCCUGAGUAGCUGGGAUUACAGGUAUGUGCCAUCAUGCCCAGCUAAUUUUUGUAUUUUUAGUAGAGAUGGAAUUUCACCGUGUUGGCCAGAAUGGUUUCGAUCUCCUGACCUCGUGAUCCCGCCUGCCUCGGCCUCCCAAAGUGCUGGGAUUAUAGGCGUGAGCCACUGUUCCCAGCCCAAAUGAGAUAAUCUUACUCUGACCCCAGGUGUGUUCAGACCGGAAGUGCUAUGGCUGGAUCUCACCCAGAUGUCAAUGAUGACUGUGGGGCUCACAUCAGUGAAUGAGGCAGGGUGGGCUGGUCACAGCUGUCCUGCUUAGAGGGAGCAGAACUCUCUAGGUGACCACAGUUUUAUACCCACCCUGAUUGUCUCAACAAUGAAGUUGCUGUGGCUUUUAUGGAAGAGCGAUUUCUAGGUUGUCUUUCAUUUUAUGUUGAUAUCAUGGUUUUUAGAGUACUUGGCAGUGGGGGAGACGGUGAUGACAGGCAAAGAUGUGUCGUACAAGAGGAGGAAACAGCCCUGUGGCUUCAGCCAGCUGUUGCCCUGGUGGAAUGUGGGCAAGACUGGCCAAGCUUUCUGACUGUCCAAGAAAAGCCAGUAAUCUGAAAUUCUUUUGUGUGAAAUCUCCCAAUUUCUAAAUGUUGCUGAAUCAUUCAAAGAUUUAAAAGACAUUAAGAAGAACAUGACAAUGAGGAAGAAAUGACAAACAUCAGCAAACCCCAUUUCCCAGACUGCCAGUUCAUAACCCAGUUCACAGACUACCAACUCACAGGGGAAUCUGAGCCUUUGUAGAAACCAGUGAGGGUUGAACAAAGCCCUUUAAUAAAUAGUAAAAAGGAAAAUCUCAUCUUUCCUUUGGAAUUUUAGCCAAACAACACUAUUUAACAAUGUGUUCUCUAUCUUCAACCUAUAGGAAGAAACCCUUUCCUUAACCUACACAAAAAGUAAAUAAAUCUAUGGCAAGGAUUUUUUUUUUUACAACAUCAAUGAAUGGUUUAAAUUUGAUUUUUUUUUUUAGUUUAUGUCUUUCCCAGUUGCUAUCAUGGGUUAAAAGAGAUUGCAGAAUAUUGCACAAAAGGAAAGAAAUAUGAAGUUGCUUCAAAAGAUGAAAAAACAGUAAUGGGCAGAUUUAAAAAAAAAUGGUCAAGAAAAUAUCCAAACAAACUUAAAUAUCACCAGAGAGUUUGCCAAUAAGUCCAUAAAGCAAAAAGAUUAUUAACCUCAAGACAGAGCUACUGUUGGGAUCACAGGAAAACCAUCAGCUGUGCACCAUUUUUAUUGACACUUCAGGGUAAACUAAUAAAACUCCCCAUUUCAAUUAAAUUUUGGAAACUCAUGUUCCCUUUUUCUUAAAUGCUGUAAACCAGCUUAUAACCACACAGCCCCUUUUUUCUAAAAUCUCCUCUUGGCUGAGGACGUGGAGCCAAUGGCACAUUCUAGCUUUUUUCUUACUAUGGCUUUCCUGGACACAGGCGGCUAUAAGACGUGGUGUUAAUGAAAGGGGGAAUUGUAACUAUAUGGUUUUCAUUUUUGCAGGUGAGCUUGUUGAGCCAUUUUGAAAUCAAGUGCUCCUUUAGGGUGUGCUUAGUGUUCCUUUUCAGGGGUUCCUGGAAUCAUGUCCGAGCUGAAACGGAUCUUGGGGAAUUUUAGUACAGAUUUUACAGACUGGAGAAUUGAGGCCCAGAAUGUCUAACCCUGCCAGAGCCAAAGAGCAAGAAAGAGUCAACUUCAAUUCCAUGUCUUCGCCAGCUGGAGAGGCCCAUGGGACAAGGAACUGAGGGAGGCCAUCCACCAUUGCAAUGAAGGAACAGAGGCCCUCAGCCCAGUCACCCUGGAGGGACUGAAUUCCAACAACAACUAUGAGUGAGCCCAGAAUUGGAGCCUUCAGAUGAGACCACAACCCUGGCUAACACCUUGAUUGCAGCUUUGUGAGAGAUCCUAAGCCAGAGGCCCCCAGCUAAGUGAUACAUGGAUUUCUGACCCACAGAAACUGUGGACAACCAUCCAGGAAGAAAUAGACCCAGAACAUAACAACCCUCUCUCACAACUUGGAGGCCUGGUGAGUGAUGGCAGCUGAUACAGCCAUGCAUCAGCCUGGCACAUCUUGCCACAUAAGCUGGAUAUGAAAAUAACAACAACAUCAGAAAAGACAGUCCA